CUUAUACUCCCUCCGGCCGGAAUUACUUGUCGAAAUAUUACAUGUAUCUAGACAAUUUUUAAACAUAGAUACAUCCAUAUUUGGGCAAAUUUGAGACAAGUAAUAUGGGUCGGAGGGAGUACAUU
rfam:Brachypodium distachyon strain Bd21 chromosome 2, whole genome shotgun sequence.